UACGUAGGGCGCAAGCGUUAUCCGGAAUUAUUGGGCGUAAAGAGCUCGUAGGCGGUUUGUCGCGUCUGCCGUGAAAGUCCGGGGCUCAACCCCGGAUCUGCGGUGGGUACGGGCAGACUAGAGUGAUGUAGGGGAGACUGGAAUUCCUGGUGUAGCGGUGAAAUGCGCAGAUAUCAGGAGGAACACCGAUGGCGAAGGCAGGUCUCUGGGCCGUAACUGACGCUGAGGAGCGAAAGCGUGGGGAGCGAACAGG
rnacentral:rRNA from 1 species